rnacentral:rRNA from 1 species
AGAAUUUGAUCCUGGUUCAGGAUGAACGCUGGCAGUGUACCUUAAGCAUGCAAGUCGAACGGAUGAGGCCGCAAGGCCAAAUCAGUGGCAGACGGGUGAGGAUUGACAGGAACCUACCUUUUGUUGGGGAAUAGCUCGCCGAAAGGCGAGAUAAUACCGCAUAAGAUCGCAAGAUGAAAGGCCUUAACCGGCCGACGAUAGAUGGGCCUGUUUGCUAUCAGCUAGUUGGUGAGGUAAUGGCUCACCAAGGCUAUGACGGCUAGGGGACGUGAGAGCGUGGUCCCCCACAAUGUUACUUAGACACGGAACAUACACCUACGGGUGGCAGCAACUGGGAAUUUUGCACAAUGGACGAAAGUCUGAUGCAGUGACACUGCGUGUAGGAUGAAGGCCCUCGGGUCGUAAACUACUGUGAUAGGGGAAAAAAUUUUGAUGGUACCCUAUUAGAAAGUACUUGCUAACUACGUGCCAGAAGCCUCGGUAAUACGUAGAGUACAAGCAUUAUCCGGAUUUAUUGGGCGUAAAGAGUAUCGUAGGCGGUCUAUUAAGUAACGGGUUAAAGCCCGGGGCUCAACCCCGGAGAUGUCCGUUAAACUGGUAGACUUGUGGAUGUUCGGGGUUACUAGAAUUCUUGGUGGAAGAGUGAAAUCUGUUGAUAUCAAGAAGAAUACCAAAAGCGAAGGCAGGUAACUAGGACAUUCCAGACGCUGAUGAACGAAAGCUAGGGGAGCGAAAGGGAUUUUGACUAGUCCCAUCACGCAGUAAUGCGUGAUUAAAGAAUCGGCUAUAUCGGUGAAAGUCCUUGCGGUUUCGGUUUACUUUCGGGUAUACUGAAUAAGUGAGGAAAACACCGAGGGAAGUUUUUAACUAUAAGAAGAAUGAAUUUUGUUUAACUAAAACUCAAAGGAGCGUUUUAAUUGGAACAAUGUUAGGUGAUAGUGGGUUGAGAUUUCGGGGAAUAAAUUGUCGUUUGCAUAUCAAGCAUAGUCUUAAACAGCUAAGUUUGGUGAAUUACAAAUGGCGUAUUUUUGAACCUAUUAUUUCAAUGAAAGUAAGAUGUUUCAGUCAGAAAGUCGGCAUGAAAGACUACAACUUUGCCGAGUUUGUGACUUUAACUCAUCCUAUUUUUACCUAUUAUUACCAGUUGUUUUAUAAAAACCACAAGAAAGUUGUUGUCGAUGAGAUGGCAACUGCAAUUGAUCCUUUGGUACUGGCUGUUUGGAUUAUGGAUGAUGGAUCUGCAGAAUAUGCUGGUUUAUCAAUCCAA